rnacentral:rRNA from 1 species
UUGUCCGGAUUUACUGGGUGUAAAGGGUGCGUAGGCGGCUUUGCAAGUCAGAUGUGAAAUCUAUGGGCUCAGCCCAUAGCCUGCAUUUGAAACUGCAGAGCUUGAGUGAAGUAGAGGCAGGCGGAAUUCCCCGUGUAGCGGUGAAAUGCGUAGAGAUGGGGAGGAACACCAGUGGCGAAGGCGGCCUGCUGGGCUUUAACUGAUGCUGAGGCACGAAAGCGUGGGUAGCAAACAGGAUUAGAUACCCUGGUAGUCCACGCUGUAAACGAUGAUUACUAGGUGUGGGGGG